GACAGAGGUGCCGAGCGUUAGGCGGAAUCACUGGGCUUAAAGCGUGUGUAGGCGGGCCGUUAAGUAUCUUGUGAAAUCCCCCGGCUCAACCGGGGAAUGGCUGGAUAUACUGGCGGUCUUGAGCGAUCUAGGGGCAGAUGGAACAAGUGGUGGAGCGGUGAAAUGCGUAGAUAUCACUUGGAACGCCAAAAGCGAAGGCAGCUCUCUGGGUCCCUACCGACGCUGGGGUGCGAAAGCAUGGGGAGCGAACAGG
rnacentral:rRNA from 1 species